rnacentral:rRNA from 1 species
UGAGUAACACGUGAGCAACCUGCCCUGGACUCUGGGAUAAGCGCUGGAAACGGCGUCUAAUACUGGAUAUGAGACGUGAUCGCAUGGUCAACGUUUGGAAAGAUUUUUCGGUCUGGGAUGGGCUCGCGGCCUAUCAGCUUGUUGGUGAGGUAAUGGCUCACCAAGGCGUCGACGGGUAGCCGGCCUGAGAGGGUGACCGGCCACACUGGGACUGAGACACGGCCCAGACUCCUACGGGAGGCAGCAGUGGGGAAUAUUGCACAAUGGGCGGAAGCCUGAUGCAGCAACGCCGCGUGAGGGAUGACGGCCUUCGGGUUGUAAACCUCUUUUAGCAGGGAAGAAGCGAAAGUGACGGUACCUGCAGAAAAAGCGCCGGCUAACUACGUGCCAGCAGCCGCGGUAAUACGUAGGGCGCAAGCGUUAUCCGGAAUUAUUGGGCGUAAAGAGCUCGUAGGCGGUUUGUCGCGUCUGCUGUGAAAUCCCGAGGCUCAACCUCGGGCCUGCAGUGGGUACGGGCAGACUAGAGUGCGGUAGGGGAGAUUGGAAUUCCUGGUGUAGCGGUGGAAUGCGCAGAUAUCAGGAGGAACACCGAUGGCGAAGGCAGAUCUCUGGGCCGUAACUGACGCUGA